AUUGAACGCUGGCGGCAUGCCUUACACAUGCAAGUCGAACGGUAACGGGCCUUCGGGUGCCGACGAGCGGCGAACGGGUGAGUAAUGCAUCGGAACGUACCUUUCAGUGGGGGAUAACGUAGCGAAAGUUACGCUAAUACCGCAUAUUCUGUGAGCAGGAAAGCAGGGGAUCGCAAGAACUUGAGCUGAUUGAGCGGCCGAUGUCAGAUUAGCUAGUUGGUGAGGUAAAGGCUCACCAAGGCGACGAUCUGUAGCGGGUCUGAGAGGAUGAUCCGCCACACUGGGACUGAGACACGGCCCAGACUCCUACGGGAGGCAGCAGUGGGGAAUUUUGGACAAUGGGGGCAACCCUGAUCCAGCCAUGCCGCGUGAGUGAAGAAGGCCUUCGGGUUGUAAAGCUCUUUCGGCCGGGAAGAAAUCGCACAGGCUAAUACCUUGUGUGGAUGACGGUACCGGAAUAAGAAGCACCGGCUAACUACGUGCCAGCAGCCGCCGUAAGAC
rnacentral:rRNA from 1 species